UCCAUCGUGAGAUGGAAUCUGAAGGAAGUCGGCGGCAAAGCCUUGGUCUGAGGUACACGAAUUACAUUUGAGGCUCAAAGCUACGGGUAAACUUGCAAAACAAAGUAAAGCCCUAUAACUAUCCGAAGUAGCUUGAGUAAAUGUAGCAGAUGGAUGAGGUGAAAGUGCGUGUU
rfam:Clostridium saccharoperbutylacetonicum N1-4(HMT), complete genome.